rnacentral:SRP_RNA from 1 species
UGUCGGGCUCCGGUUAACGGACUAAUACCCAACCCCGUCAGGUCCGGAAGGAAGCAGCGGUCAGUAUUUAAUUCGUGUAAUCGGUCAGCCCGGCAUCU